AUCUGUGGCCAAACCACCCUGAACACACCUGGUCUCAUCUCAUCCUGGAAGCUAAGCAGGGUCAGGCCUGGUUAGUACUUGGAUGGGAGCAGUAAUGGUACAGGAC
rnacentral:rRNA from 1 species